rnacentral:rRNA from 1 species
GAUGAACGCUGGCGGCGUGCUUAACACAUGCAAGUCGAACGAAGCAUUUAAGACAGAUUACUUCGGUUUGAAGUCUUUUAUGACUGAGUGGCGGACGGGUGAGUAACGCGUGGGUAACCUGCCUCAUACAGGGGGAUAGCAGCUGGAAACGGCUGGUAAUACCGCAUAAGCGCACAGUACCACAUGGUACAGUGUGAAAAACUCCGGUGGUAUGAGAUGGACCCGCGUCUGAUUAGCUUGUUGGCGGGGUAACGGCCCACCAAGGCGACGAUCAGUAGCCGACCUGAGAGGGUGACCGGCCACAUUGGGACUGAGACACGGCCCAGACUCCUACGGGAGGCAGCAGUGGGGAAUAUUGCACAAUGGAGGAAACUCUGAUGCAGCGACGCCGCGUGAGUGAAGAAGUAGUUCGCUAUGUAAAGCUCUAUCAGCAGGGAAGAUAGUGACGGUAGCUGACUAAGAAGCUCCGGCUAAAUACGUG